rnacentral:tRNA from 1 species
GAGGAUAUAGCUCAGUGGUAGAGUGCCUGCUUAGCAUGCAUGAGGUCCUGGGUUCAAUCCCCGAUCCCUCCA